rnacentral:rRNA from 1 species
UACGUAGGCAGCGAGCGUUGUUCGGAAUUACUGGGCGUAAAGAGUGUGUAGGUGGUGCUCUAAGUUCGGUGUGAAAUCUCCCGGCUUAACUGGGAGGGUGCGGCGAAAACUGGAAUGCUAGAGGAUGGGAGAGGUAAGCGGAAUUCCUGGUGUAGCGGUGAAAUGCGUAGAUAUCAGGAGGAACACCUGUGGUGUAGACAGCUUACUGGACCAUUUCUGACGCUGAGACGCGAAAAGCGUGGGGAGCGAACAGG